GAGGGUUCCUCUGCAGACCCCACUGCCAUGGCCUGGUCUCCAUUCUGCCUCCUCUUGACACUGUCCUACUGUUCAGGGUACUUUGCUCAGUAUGUGCUGACUCAGCCACCAUCAGUCUCUGUGUCUCCUGGAGGAACUGCUCAAAUCACUUGCUCAGGAGAUUUGGUGAACAAGUGGUAUGUUCAGUGGUACCACCAAAGACCUAACAAUGCUCCCCAACUGUUAAUAUAUAAGGAUAAAGAAAGACCUGAUCAUGUUUCGGACCGAUUUUCUGGGAGCAGCAGCGGCAACACAGCCACGUUAACCAUCGGCAACGUCCAACUCCAAGAUGAGGCAGAUUAUUAUUGUGAGCACGGUUAUAAUGAUACCAGCCUUCAGUACCAGCACAGUGUCAUGAGAAUAACCCCUGAAAACUACGUCCUG